GUGAGUAGUGUCUAUGUUAAACUUCUAUAGGCAAGAAGAUGAAAUCAAAGAUAUAUGUAAAUGCUUAUACAUUUAACUACUUUUUGUUGGUCCAGUGACACAUUAUUUAUGCUUAUCUUUAUAUAGAUCAACCAUAUUUCUCACUAUAUGUAACAAUUUCUGAACGGACUACUUACUUUACAGUUUUACAUUACAGUUUUUCCAACAAGUGACAGCUUGUGUAUCUCUGUAAGUCAGUUUGAUAACCUGAAUACAUUGUUUUAGUAAUAAGGCCCCUAAAUGUUCUAGUAUGACUGUUACUCCUCUCCAGGUACCAGCAAUUAUAAAUGAUCUACUGAAGGCCAGAAGCAGUUUGGGGAUUGAUCUGUAUGUUCAAUGUAUAAUACAUGUUGCGCAUACAAGCAUAAAUUUGGAGAGUGUUGGAAGCCACUCUUAAAAUAGAUCUCAUGCAAUUUGAAGAAUAGAAAUUAUGAUAAGUCAAUACAUUAAAGGUAAGUUCAAGUCAAUAGCAGACUGAAAAUGCUAAGGCCAGGGGACAAGUUAAAGUACAUAGCCUAGUUAAUACAGUCAUGAAAAAUCUAAUUGUCAUCACUAAAUAUUUCAAUAAUGCCAAUGCAAACUAUCCUGUCCUGCAUACAACAAACUAGCGCAAUCAACAGGACUGCAUAGAAAGAUCACAAAUGGAGUGUUCAACUUCUCUUCCGCUUUGACAUUUCCUGUUUGGCCUCUGAACAUGGCGUUGUGCUG